UUCGUACUUUUUCGGCCAACUGAAGUCCUUUAACGUAUUUGCUCGUAGGAAUCGAUGCAAAAUUGGCCGAAUUUGGCCGAAAAUGGUCGACCCGAGGUGGACUGUCGCUGUGGGCGGCGGCGCUAUCGCCGAAGCACGGCAAAGCCGCCGUGUUGGAUUUUCAAAAUUAGCUUAGUGGGCCCUAGGACUGAUUUUGAGUUUAUUUAGA
rnacentral:lncRNA from 1 species